GACAUAGGUGGCGAACGUUAUCCGGAAUUAUUGGGCGUAAAGGAUGCGUAGAUGGUAGAAUAAGUUGCUGGUCGAUGCCAAACUCAAUUUGACGGAAGCUAGCAAUACUGUUCUGCUAGAGGGCAGGAGAGGUUGAUGGAAUUCUGUGUGGAGCGGUGAAAAUGCGUUGAUCUACAGAGGAACACCAAAAAAAGCGAAGGCAGUCAACUAUUCUGUUCCUGACAUUGAG
rnacentral:rRNA from 1 species